rnacentral:tRNA from 1 species
GCGUGUAGUUCAAUAGGAUAGAACACCCUUAAUCGAAGAGGGAGGUUGGAGGUCCGAAUCCUCUCAUGCUGCC